rnacentral:other from 1 species
UUUGGUAUGAUACACUACCUAUUAGAGCUAGAGAAUAGCUGCAUUUGUUUUUUUUAGGAGGAUUUUGUUAUGCACGGUAAAGUAAAAUGGUUCAGCGCAGAAAAAGGUUAUGGCUUCAUUGAAAGAGAAGAUGGCGGCGACGUUUUCGUACACUUCUCCGCUAUUCAGGAAGACGGCUUCAAAUCCCUGACAGAAGGUCAGGAAGUUGAUUUUGAUAUCGUAGAUGGUGCACGUGGUCCGCAGGCUGCUAACGUAGUUAAAGCCUAAUCGAGCGCUUUCAGGAUAUAGACCUUUUAACCGGUAACCUCAUGGUUGCCGGUUUUUU